CCUACGGGGGGCUGCAGUGGGGAAUAUUGCACAAUGGGGGAAACCCUGAUGCAGCGACGCCGCGUGAGUGAAGAAGUAUUUCGGUAUGUAAAGCUCUAUCAGCAGGGAAGAAAAUGACGGUACCUGAUUAAGAAGCCCCGGCAAACUACGGGCCAGCAGCCGCGGUAAUACGUAGGGGGCAAGCGUUAUCCGGAUUUACUGGGUGGAAAGGGAGCGUAGACGGCAGCACAAGUCUGGAGUGAAAUGCCGGGGCUUAACCCCGGAACUGCUUUGGAAACUGGGCAGCUAGAGUGCAGGAGGGGUAAGUGGAAUUCCUGGUGUAGCGGUGAAAUGCGUAGAUAUUAGGAGGAACACCAGUGGCGGAGGCGGCUUACUGGACUGUAACUGACGUUGAGGCUCGAAAGCGUGGGGAGCAAACAGGAUUAGAUACCCUUGUAGUC
rnacentral:rRNA from 1 species